UUACGGCCAUAUCACGUUGAAACACCAGUUCCCGUACGAUCAGCGAAGUUAAGCAACUUCGAACCUGGUCAGUAUCUAGAUGUGUGCCCACUUGGGGUAACAGGUGCUGUAAG